CCCAAGCAGGCGAGGCAACGCCAAGCUAAGCCGGGGCGGGCACGGAGGGGUGUCCCUCUCCUUGCGGCCGUGCGUAAAAGCCUUGCAGGGCACAUGGCAGAGAGGAAGCAGGAACCUAUGGCAAAUUUUGCCCCAUGUUAAACAAGGGUCAAUCUGAUUGGCAGCAAGUCAGCAAAUACAGUGUUGUAGAUGGAACGGCUGAUAGAGGAGAUGGUGGGGAACUAAUAUCCAAGAUCAGAGAACUAUCGUGAAACAAAAAAACCAAAAAUAAUAUUUUGUUUGGGCCAACCAAAAUACUCCAAAAUAGCAUGCAGGCAAAAGCUCCAUUUUUAUGAUAUCUGGGUCGGCUGCAAUAAAAC